UACGUAGGCAGCAAGCGUUGUUCGGAGUUACUGGGCGUAAAGGGUGUGUAGGCGGUUCCUUAAGUUUGCUGUGAAAUCUCCCGGCUUAACCGGGAGGGUGCGGUGAAUACUGAGGGACUAGAGUACGGGAGAGGAAAGUGGAAUUCCUGGUGUAGCGGUGAAAUGCGUAGAUAUCAGGAGGAACACCGGUGGUGUAGACGGCUUUCUGGACCGUAACUGACGCUGAGACACGAAAGCCAGGGGAGCGAACGGG
rnacentral:rRNA from 1 species